ensembl:snoRNA SNORA62 Small nucleolar RNA SNORA62/SNORA6 family
UUUGCACACUAUUAAACCCUGGCACUGAUGUUGGUGUGCAGGGGUCGGAAGUGUGCUAAAGCAAGCAGGCCGGGUUUUCGCUAACACCAUGAGGGCUGAGUCCCUUUGACUGGGGUUUGAUAGUGACCUGAGCCACACCA